rnacentral:rRNA from 1 species
CCUACGGUAGGCAGCAGUGAGGAAUAUUGGUCAAUGGACGAGAGUCUGAACCAGCCAAGUAGCGUGAAGGAUGACUGCCCUAUGGGUUGUAAACUUCUUUUAUAUGGGAAUCAAAUGUUACACGUGUGGGAUUUUGUAUGUACCAUAUGAAUAAGGAUCGGCUAACUCCGUGCCAGCAGCCGCGGUAAUACGGAGGAUCCGAGCGUUAUCCGGAUUUAUUGGGGUUAAAGGGAGCGUAGGUGGAUUGUUAAGUCAGUUGUGAAAGUUUGCGGCUCAACCGUAGAAUUGGAGUUGAAACUGGCAGUGCUGAGUAGAGUAGAGGGGGGCGGAAAUCGUGGGGGAGCGGGGGAAUGCU